rnacentral:lncRNA from 1 species
AAGCCUUGUGGGCUGUUGGGGAAACUGUGUCCUAGAGAAAAAUGUAGAUUUCCUCUUCCCAGUUUCCCGGGGUGUGGUGAGCCCAGCCUCCUGAGUUGGGAGGGGCAGGCUUCCAGAAGCUUCCAUCCUGGCCACACAAAAAUCAAGAGACUGGAGCAGGACGCAGCCCUCUAAGGAACUCUGAGGAUUCACCGAACACUCGAGAGGAAGUGGUGCCCACGCUAAUGUGCUCGGAGGCACUUUUCUCUCUGUUCGUCCAUCAAGACUGUCCUCGUUUUCCAGACAAGGACCUCAGGGCCACCAGGGCCGGCCAUGCCCCACCCAGCUCAGGGGGCACCGAUCACACAGACCACGACAAGAACACCACCCCUGCCCCUGAAGCUCCGAUGCACAGAGAGGUUGAGUGACUUGUUCAAGGUCCCACAGCUAAUGUACAGCUCAACUGGGAUUCCGGAGCUUGGCUCCUGACCCUGAAUCGCCAUUGGCCAUCAAGACGGUUGUCAUGGCGGGUUUCUGAGACGCAGGGAAACUGGUGUUCCCUUUGCCCGGCCGGGCAGGCGUCAAGUCUCAGUCGGUCUUUUGUUUCUCUCUACCCCGAAAGUCUGCAUAUUUCUGGGGAUUUUUGAUAUUUUUCUUGUUUUUGAAUUUUACAAGAGCAAUACAUCUGUGAUUUGGUUUGUUCUACAUACUGUAAUCUAAGGACACGUGUGAAAAUGCCAGGACCUCAGACCCCGGCACUGGCUGGGUCCCCCUCCAUAAUCACGUGCAUAAGGCCUCCACCUGACAGACGGGUGUAGAGAGGCAAGGAGACUAGCCCAAGGUCACCCAGGUAGGAAGCGGCAAAGCUGGAAGGGACCUACCUGACGCCAGCCUCUCCUUAAUCCCCACGUCUGCCCUCUCACACUGGAAGCCCGUGAACCAAAUGCAACCUGCAAACUAUCUGAUUUGCCCGCAUGGUGUUUUCAUAAAUUUAGAACUUCUCAUCAGCAUUUAAAGAAAGGGGUAUUUCUAGGAAGAAUGUUCAAAAUAUUUAACCAGACUGGUGUGGGCAUCGGCCGUUCAGCGUGGACACUGGCCGUCCAGUCACAGCUGUGGGUAUUGCAAGAAAAAGCAAAAAAGAAAAAAAAAAUCAAAAGGUCUAGAAAAGGUGAAAUUAUGGGCACAAUAAAAAGAUGAGUGGUUGUUGCUCA